rnacentral:rRNA from 1 species
CUACGGGAGGCAGCAGUGGGGAAUAUUGGACAAUGGGCGAAAGCCUGAUCCAGCAAUGCCGCGUGAGUGAUGAAGGCCUUAGGGUUGUAAAGCUCUUUUACCCGGGAUGAUAAUGACAGUACCGGGAGAAUAAGCCCCGGCUAACUCCGUGCCAGCAGCCGCGGUAAUACGGAGGGGGCUAGCGUUGUUCGGAAUUACUGGGCGUAAAGCGCGCGUAGGCGGCUAUUCAAGUCAGAGGUGAAAGCCUGGUGCUCAACACCAGAACUGCCUUUGAAACUAGAUAGCUAGAAUCACGGAGAGGUCAGUGGAAUUCCGAGUGUAGAGGUGAAAUUCGUAGAUAUUCGGAAGAACACCAGUGGCGAAGGCGACUGACUGGACGUGUAUUGACGCUGAGGUGCGAAAGCGUGGGGAGCAAACAGGAUUAGAUACCCCGGUAGUCC